GAGAGGUAUCGGUAUGAGCUAC
rnacentral:miRNA from 1 species